UACCUGGUUGAUCCUGCCAGUAGUCAUAUGCUUGUCUCAAAGAUUAAGCCAUGCAAGUCUAAGUACGAGCUCUCGUACAGUGAAACUGCGAAUGGCUCAUUAAAUCAGUUAUGGUUCAUUUGAUCGUACAGUUUACUUGGAUAACUGUGGUAAUUCUAGAGCUAAUACAUGCGAGAAGCGCCGACCUCGCGGGAGGCGUGCAUUUAUCAGACCAAAAACCGGCCGCGUCUUCGGGCGCGUUCGCCUUGGUGACUCUGGAUAACUUUGCGGAUCGCACGGUCUAGCACCGGCGACGGAUCAUUCAAGUGUCUGCCCUAUCAACUUUCGUCGGUACGGUAUUUGCCUACCGAGGUUCUUACGGGUGACGGGGAAUCAGGGUUCGAUUCCGGAGAGGGAGCCUGAGAAACGGCUACCACAUCCAAGGAAGGCAGCAGGCGCGCAAAUUACCCAUUCCCGACGCGGGGAGGUAGUGACGAAAAAUAACAAUGCAGGACUCGUUCGAGGCCCUGUAAUUGGAAUGAGUACACUUUAAAAGCUUUAACGAGUAUCCAUUG
rfam:Ciona savignyi cont_53770, whole genome shotgun sequence.